GGAUUAGAUACCCUGGUAGUCCACGCCGUAAACGAUGGAUGCUAGCUGUUGGGCAGUAUACUGUUCAGUGGCGCAGCUAACGCAUUAAGCAUCCCGCCUGGGGAGUACGGUCGCAAGACUAAAACUCAAAGAAAUUGACGGGGGCCCGCACAAGCGGUGGAGCAUGUGGUUUAAUUCGAAGCAACGCGCAGAACCUUACCAGCUCUUGACAUCCCGAUCGCGGUUAGUGGAGACACUUUCCUUCAGUUAGGCUGGAUCGGUGACAGGUGCUGCAUGGCUGUCGUCAGCUCGUGCCG
rnacentral:rRNA from 1 species